rnacentral:rRNA from 1 species
AUGACGGCGUUCCAGAGCAUGAUGUUGUUGUCGUGCGGCGCGCCGCUGAUCCCGGCCGGUGGGUCAUGCUGCAGCCGCUUGAAGUCCCGCAUCAGGCGCUUUCUCGACGGCGUCGACAUCUCCGCCGCCGGCGCAGACUCCUCGAACCCGCUAGGGCUCACGUACGCACGCACUCUCCCCGCCAGUCGCUUCGGCCAGGUUUAUUGCGUCCGGAAUAGACGAACGAGAGAAUGUGAGGACAUCUACAAUCUACAACAUGGGCAUACCGACGCGUCCCAAUCAUUUUCCCCUUAA